UUAAGCGACUAAGCGUACACGGUGGAUGCCCUGGCAGUCAGAGGCGAUGAAGGACGUGCUAAUCUGCGAAAAGCGUCGGUAAGGUGAUAUGAACCGUUAUAACCGGCGAUGUCCGAAUGGGGAAACCCAGUGCAAUUCGUUGCACUAUCGUUAACUGAAUACAUAGGUUAACGAGGCGAACCGGGGGAACUGAAACAUCUAAGUACCCCGAGGAAAAGAAAUCAACCGAGAUUCCCCCAGUAGCGGCGAGCGAACGGGGAGCAGCCCAGAGUCUGAAUCAGCUUGUGUGUUAGUGGAACGGUCUGGAAAGUCCGACGGUACAGGGUGAUAGUCCCGUACACCAAAAUGCACAGGCUGUGAACUCGAAGAGUAGGGCGGGACACGUGGUAUCCUGUCUGAAUAUGGGGGGACCAUCCUCCAAGGCUAAAUACUCCUGACUGACCGAUAGUGAACCAGUACCGUGAGGGAAAGGCGAAAAGAACCCCGGCGAGGGGAGUGAAAAAGAACCUGAAACCGUGUACGUACAAGCAGUGGGAGCACCUUCGGGUGUGACUGCGUACCUUUUGUAUAAUGGGUCAGCGACUUAUAUUCUGUAGCAAGGUUAACCGUAUAGGGGAGCCGCAGGGAAACCGAGUCUUAACUGGGCGUUAAGUUGCAGGGUAUAGACCCGAAACCCGGUGAUCUAGCCAUGGGCAGGUUGAAGGUUGGGUAACACUAACUGGAGGACCGAACCGACUAAUGUUGAAAAAUUAGCGGAUGACUUGUGGCUGGGGGUGAAAGGCCAAUCAAACCGGGAGAUAGCUGGUUCUCCCCGAAAGCUAUUUAGGUAGCGCCUCGUGAACUCAUCUUCGGGGGUAGAGCACUGUUUCGGCUAGGGGGUCAUCCCGACUUACCAACCCGAUGCAAACUACGAAUACCGAAGAAUGUUAUCACGGGAGACACACGGCGGGUGCUAACGUCCGUCGUGAAGAGGGAAACAACCCAGACCGCCAGCUAAGGUCCCAAAGUCAUGGUUAAGUGGGAAACGAUGUGGGAAGGCACAGACAGCCAGGAUGUUGGCUUAGAAGCAGCCAUCAUUUAAAGAAAGCGUAAUAGCUCACUGGUCGAGUCGGCCUGCGCGGAAGAUGUAACGGGGCUAAACCAUGCACCGAAGCUGCGGCAGCGACACUAUGUGUUGUUGGGUAGGGGAGCGUUCUGUAAGCCUGCGAAGGUGACCUGUGAGGGUUGCUGGAGGUAUCAGAAGUGCGAAUGCUGACAUAAGUAACGAUAAAGCGGGUGAAAAGCCCGCUCGCCGGAAGACCAAGGGUUCCUGUCCAACGUUAAUCGGGGCAGGGUGAGUCGACCCCUAAGGCGAGGCCGAAAGGCGUAGUCGAUGGGAAACAGGUUAAUAUUCCUGUACUUGGUGUUACUGCGAAGGGGGGACGGAGAAGGCUAUGUUAGCCGGGCGACGGUUGUCCCGGUUUAAGCAUGUAGGCUGGUUGUCCAGGCAAAUCCGGAUAAUCAAGGCUGAGGUGUGAUGACGAGGCACUACGGUGCUGAAGUAACAAAUGCCCUGCUUCCAGGAAAAGCCUCUAAGCAUCAGGUAACAUUAAAUCGUACCCCAAACCGACACAGGUGGUCAGGUAGAGAAUACCAAGGCGCUUGAGAGAACUCGGGUGAAGGAACUAGGCAAAAUGGUGCCGUAACUUCGGGAGAAGGCACGCUGGUGUGUAGGUGAAGCCCCUGCGGGUGGAGCUGAGACCAGUCGAAGAUACCAGCUGGCUGCAACUGUUUAUUAAAAACACAGCACUGUGCAAACACGAAAGUGGACGUAUACGGUGUGACGCCUGCCCGGUGCCGGAAGGUUAAUUGAUGGGGUUAUCCGUAAGGAGAAGCUCUUGAUCGAAGCCCCGGUAAACGGCGGCCGUAACUAUAACGGUCCUAAGGUAGCGAAAUUCCUUGUCGGGUAAGUUCCGACCUGCACGAAUGGCGUAAUGAUGGCCAGGCUGUCUCCACCCGAGACUCAGUGAAAUUGAACUCGCUGUGAAGAUGCAGUGUACCCGCGGCAAGACGGAAAGACCCCGUGAACCUUUACUAUAGCUUGACACUGAACAUUGAGCCUUGAUGUGUAGGAUAGGUGGGAGGCUUUGAAGCGUGGACGCCAGUCUGCGUGGAGCCAACCUUGAAAUACCACCCUUUAAUGUUUGAUGUUCUAACGUUGGCCCCUGACCGGGGUUGCGGACAGUGUCUGGUGGGUAGUUUGACUGGGGCGGUCUCCUCCCAAAGCGUAACGGAGGAGCACGAAGGUUAGCUAAUCCUGGUCGGACAUCAGGAGGUUAGUGCAAUGGCAUAAGCUAGCUUGACUGCGAGCGUGACGGCGCGAGCAGGUGCGAAAGCAGGUCAUAGUGAUCCGGUGGUUCUGAAUGGAAGGGCCAUCGCUCAACGGAUAAAAGGUACUCCGGGGAUAACAGGCUGAUACCGCCCAAGAGUUCAUAUCGACGGCGGUGUUUGGCACCUCGAUGUCGGCUCAUCACAUCCUGGGGCUGAAGUAGGUCCCAAGGGUAUGGCUGUUCGCCAUUUAAAGUGGUACGCGAGCUGGGUUUAGAACGUCGUGAGACAGUUCGGUCCCUAUCUGCCGUGGGCGCUGGAGAAUUGAGGGGGGCUGCUCCUAGUACGAGAGGACCGGAGUGGACGCAUCACUGGUGUUCGGGUUGUCAUGCCAAUGGCACUGCCCGGUAGCUAAAUGCGGAAGAGAUAAGUGCUGAAAGCAUCUAAGCACGAAACUUGCCCCGAGAUGAGUUCUCCCUGAGACUAUAAGUCUCCUGAAGGAACGUUAAAGACGAUGACGUUGAUAGGCCGGGUGUGUAAGCGCAGCGAUGCGUUGAGCUAACCGGUACUAAUGAACCGUGAGGCUUAACCUU
rnacentral:rRNA from 1 species